rnacentral:tRNA from 1 species
GUGAAAUUGGUAGACACAAGGGAUUUAAAAUCCCUCGACUUUCGAGUCGUGCCGGUUCAAGUCCGGCCCGGGGCACCA